UACAGAGGUCUCAAGCGUUGUUCGGAUUCAUUGGGCGUAAAGGGUGCGUAGGCGGCGCGGUAAGUCGGGUGUGAAAUCUCGGGGCUUAACUCCGAAACUGCAUUCGAUACUGCCGUGCUUGAGGACUGGAGAGGAGACUGGAAUUUACGGUGUAGCGGUGAAAUGCGUAGAUAUCGUAAGGAAGACCAGUGGCGAAGGCGGGUCUCUGGACAGUUCCUGACGCUGAGGCGACGAAGGCCAGGGGAGCAAACGGG
rnacentral:rRNA from 1 species